UGGCAUUGCUCUUCCAAACAGCACACUACUCACAACUCAGAGUGCCGGUUGUCCCCCCUGUGCAUAGCUGCACGGAAUCUGAACAGCAAUGGCACAAGCCACGGACAGUGGGUGUGAAGCCAGGACCCAUCAACUCCAUGAUCUUCACUAAGCCGGUACCAAAUAGGAUGGCCCAGACUGGAGUACGGAGUGGCUUCUACAGAGGCAUGGUGGGUCCGUUACCAGAUCCCUGCUUGUUCAGAAUAACGGAGGCAUAUGCAAAAUUUAAUAUUGAGGACAGGCCACUUGUGACCACAAU